rnacentral:rRNA from 1 species
UACGUAGGGUGCGAGCGUUAAUCGGAAUUACUGGGCGUAAAGCGUGCGCAGGCGGUUCUGCAAGUCAGAUGUGAAAGCCCCGGGCUCAACCUGGGAAUUGCAUUUGAGACUGCGUAGCUAGGGUGCGGAAGAGGGAAGCGGAAUUUCCGGUGUAGCGGUGAAAUGCGUAGAUAUCGGAAGGAACACCAGUGGCGAAAGCGGCUUCCUGGUCCAGCACCGACGUUCAGGCACGAAAGCGUGGGGAGCAAACAGG